rnacentral:rRNA from 1 species
ACGCUGGCGGCGUGCCUAACACAUGCAAGUCAACUUGACUGAAGGAGCAAUCUGACAGUAGAGUGGCGCAAGGGUGCGUAACGCGUAAGUAACUUGCCCCAAGGUAAGGAAUAACGUCGAGAAAUCGGCGCUAAUACCUCAUAAUGCAGCGGAUCCGCAUGGAUAUGUUGUUAAGGUUUACCGCCUUGGGAUAGGCUUGCGUCUGAUUAGCUAGUUGGUGUGGUAACGGCACACCAAGGCUACGAUCAGUAACUGGUCUGAGAGGAUGAUCAGUCACACUGGAACUGAGACACGGUCCAGACUCCUACGGGAGGCAGCAGUGAGGAAUAUUGGGCAAUGCUCGAAAGAGUGACCCAGCAACGCCGCGUGGAGGAUGAAGGUAUUCUAUAUCGUAAACUCCUGUGAGAGCAGACGAAAGACAGAUUAUUAAUCUGGAUGACUGUAUGCUCAGAGGAAGCCCCGGCUAACUACGUG